CCAGACUCCUACGGGAGGCAGCAGUGGGGGAUAUUGCACAAUGGGGGGAACCCUGAUGCAGCGACGCCGCGUGAGCGAUGAAGUAUUUCGGUAUGUAAAGCUCUAUCAGCAGGGAAGAAAAUGACGGUACCUGACUAAGAAGCCCCGGCUAACUACGUGCCAGCGGCCGCGGUAAUACGUAGGGGGCAAGCGUUAUCCGGAUUUACUGGGUGUAAAGGGAGCGCAGGCGGCCUUGCAAGUCUGAUGUGAAAGGCCGGGGCCCAACCCCGGGACUGCAUUGGAAACUGCGAGGCUGGAGUGUCGGAGAGGCAGGCGGAAUUCCUAGUGUAGCGGUGAAAUGCGUAGAUAUUAGGAGGAACACCAGUGGCGAAGGCGGUCUGCUGGACAGCAACUGACGCUGAGGCGCGAAAGCGUGGGGAGCAAACAGGAUUAGAUACCCCAGUA
rnacentral:rRNA from 1 species